CAGUAGCCACGGGAAUACGAAGGGGGCUAGCGUUGUUCGGAUUUACUGGGCGUAAAGCGCACGUAGGCGGAUCGAUCAGUCAGGGGUGAAAUCCCAGAGCUCAACUCUGGAACUGCCUUUGAUACUGUCGAUCUGGAGUAUGGAAGAGGUGAGUGGAAUUCCGAGUGUAGAGGUGAAAUUCGUAGAUAUUCGGUGGAACACCAGUGGCGAAGGCGGCUCACUGGUCCAUUACUGACGCUGAGGUGCGAAAGCGUGGGGAGCAAACAGGAUUAGAUACCCCCGUAGUCCCUGUCUCUUAUAC
rnacentral:rRNA from 1 species